rnacentral:rRNA from 1 species
CCUACGUGAGGCAGCAGUCGGGAAUAUUGCGCAAUGGAGGAAACUCUGACGCAGUGACGCCGCGUGCAGGAAGAAGGUUUUCGGAUUGUAAACUGCUUUAGACAGGGAAGAAAAAAGACAGUACCGGUAGAAUAAGCUCCGGCUAACUACGUGCCAGCAGCCGCGUUAAUACGUAGGGAGCAAGCGUUAUCCGGAUGUAUUGGGUUAAAAGGGUGCGUAGGCGGGCUGUUAAGUCAGCGGUAAAAGCCCGGGGCUCAACCCCGGCGAGCCGUUGAAACUGGCUGUCUUGAGAUGUCGAGAGUUAUGCGGAAUGCGCAGUGUAGCGGUGAAAUGCUUAGAUAUUGCGCAGAACUCCGAUUGCGAAGGCAGCAUACCGGCGGCGAUCUGACGCUGAGGCACGAAAGCGUGGGUAUCGAACAGGAUUAGAUACCCCAGUAGUC